UACAGAGGAUGCAAGCGUUAUCCGGAAUGAUUGGGCGUAAAGCGUGCGCAGGCGGUUCUAUAAGACCGAUGUGAAAUCCCCGGGCUCAACCUGGGAACUGCAUUUGUGACUGUAGAGCUGGAGUACGGCAGAGGGGGAUGGAAUUCCGCGUGUAGCAGUGAAAUGCGUAGAUAUGCGGAGGAACACCGAUGGCGAAGGCAAUCCCCUGGGCCUGUACUGACGCUCAUGCACGAAAGCGUGGGGAGCAAACAGG
rnacentral:rRNA from 1 species